GACGAACGCUGGCGGCGGGCUUAACACAUGCAAGUCGAACGAUGAAGCCGGAGCUUGCUCUGGUGAAUUAGUGGCGAACGGGUGAGUAACACGUGAGUAACCUGCCCUUGACUCUGGGAUAACUGCGGGAAACUGUAGCUAAUACCGGAUACGACCCUCGGAGGCAUCUCCUGGGGGUGGAAAGAAUUUCGGUCAAGGAUGGACUCGCGGCCUAUCAGCUAGUUGGUGAGGUAAAGGCUCACCAAGGCGACGACGGGUAGCCGGCCUGAGAGGGUGACCGGCCACACUGGGACUGAGACACGGCCCAGACUCCUACGGGAGGCAGCAGUGGGGAAUAUUGCACAAUGGGCGCAAGCCUGAUGCAGCAACGCCGCGUGAGGGAUGACGGCCUUCGGGUUGUAAACCUCUUUUAGCAGGGAAGGAGCGAAAGUGACGGUACCUGCAGAAAAAGCACCGGCUAACUACGUGCCAGCAGCCGCAGUAA
rnacentral:rRNA from 1 species